UUUCCGUAGGUGAACCUGCGGAAGGAUCAUUAAAGAGUAAGGGUCUUCGGGCCCGAUCUCCAACCCUUUGUUUAACUACCAUGUUGCUUUGGCGGGCCCGUCUCACGACCGCCGGAAGUUUGGCUUCGACCAAACUUCUGGCCCGUGCCCGUCAGUGGCCCCUUCAAAUUCUUGAUCAAGUAUGGUGUCUUAGUUAAAAACUUAAUAGUUAAAACUUUCAACAACGGAUCUCUUGGUUCUG
rnacentral:misc_RNA from 1 species